AUUGAACGCUGGCGGCAGGCCUAACACAUGCAAGUCGAGCGCGCGGCGGACGGGUGAGUAAUGUAUGGGGACUGCCCGAUAGAGGGGGGUAACUACUGGAAACGGUGUCUAAUACCCCAUACUAUCGGAUAACCCAUAUGGGAUUAGCUCGUGGGGGGGGUAAUGGCUCACCUAGGCGACGAUCCCUAGCUGGUCUGAGAGGAUGAUCAGCCACACUGGGACUGAGACACGGCCCAGACUCCGACGGAGGCAGCAGUGGGGAAUAUUGCACAAUGGGCGCAAGCCUGAUGCAGCCAUGCCGCGUGUAUGAAGAAGGCCCUAGGGUUGUAAAGUACUUUCAGGCGGGAGGCGUUACCGACAGAAGAAGCACCGGCUAACUCCGUGCCAGCAGCCGCGGUAAUAC
rnacentral:rRNA from 1 species